UCGAGAAUCUUUCGCAAUGGGCGAAAGCCUGACGAAGCGACGCCGUGUGAGUGAUGAAGGCCUUCGGGUCGUAAAGCUCUUUCGCUUGGGAACAAGAAAGGCCGGCUAAUAUCCGGCCGAUUUGAGGGUACUAGGUAAAGAAGCACCGGCUAACUCCGUGCCAGCAGCUGCGGUAAUACGGAGGGUGCGAGCAUUAAUCGGAUUUAUUGGGCGUAAAGGGCGCGUAGGCGGGAAGGUAAGUCAGAUGUGAAAUCCCGGGGCUCAACCCCGGAACAGCAUUUGAAACUGCCUUUCUAAGAGGAUGGACGGAGAAAAUGGAAUUCCACAAGUAGCGGUGAAAUGCGUAGAUAUGUGGAAGAACACCAGUGGCGAAGGCGAUUUUCUAGUUUAUACCUGACGCUAAAGCGCGAAAGCUAGGGGAGCAAACAGGAUUAGAUACCCGCGUAGUCC
rnacentral:rRNA from 1 species